rnacentral:rRNA from 1 species
GAUGAACGCUGGCGGCGUGCUUAACACAUGCAAGUCGAACGAUUAAAGCCCCUUCGGGGGUGUAUAGAGUGGCGAACGGGUGAGUAACACGUGGGCAAUCUGCCCCUCACUUCGGGAUAACUCAGGGAAACUUGAGCUAAUACCGGAUACUCCGGGAAGGUCGCAUGGCCAACCCGGGAAAGCUCCGACGGUGAGGGAUGAGCCCGCGGCCCAUUAGCUUGUUGGUGAGGUAACGGCUCACCAAGGCGACGAUGGGUAGCCGAGCUGAGAGGCUGAUCGGCCACACUGGGACUGAGACACGGCCCAGACUCCUACGGGAGGCAGCAGUGGGGAAUUUUGCGCAAUGGACGAAAGCUUGACGCAGCAACGCCGCGUGCGGGAUGAAGGCCUUCGGGUUGUAAACCGCUUUCAGCAGGGAUGAAAUUGACAGUACCUGCAGAAGAAGCCCCGGCUAACUACGUGCCAGCCGCCGCUGUAA